UACGUAGGGACCAAGCGUUGUUCGGAUUUACUGGGCGUAAAGGGCGCGUAGGCGGCGCGGUAAGUCACUUGUGAAAUCUCUGAGCUUAACUCAGAACGGCCAAGUGAUACUGCAGUGCUAGAGUGUGGAAGGGGCAAUCGGAAUUCUUGGUGUAGCGGUGAAAUGCGUAGAUAUCAAGAGGAACACCUGAGGUGAAGACGGGUUGCUGGGCCAACACUGACGCUGAGGCGCGAAAGCCAGGGGAGCAAACGGGAUUAGAUACCCCGGUAGUCCUGGCCCUAAACGAUGAAUACUUGGUGUCUGGAGUUUUAAUGCUCCGGGUGCCGUCGCUAACGUUUUUAGUAUUCCGCCUGGGGAGUACGCUCGCAAGAGUGAA
rnacentral:rRNA from 1 species